UUAUCAAACUGAUGCGCAAUCCUGGCCAGUGUACAAUUCUCUGGGACCAGCCAUCCCUAACCAACCUUAAGUAUUAUCAGUAUGGCCGGUUGAGACAUAGACAUGGAAAAGGGAAAUUGAUCUGCCAUAGUAUAGUGAGCAAAAAACAAACAGUGCUUACAAAGGUUUUACAGCUCUUUAAAACAUUGCACAGGACCAGACAACAGGUUUUUAAAAAUGAUGCUAGAGCAUUAGAAGCAGCCCGAAUAAAGAUAAAUGAAGAAUUCAAAUGUAAUAAAACUGAAACUUCUGCUAAGAAAAUAGAAGAGGUAAUUAACUUAUCGUGUAUUGUGAUGAAGUCUUGGCACUGAAAGGAAUCCUAGGUGACCUCUCGACCAGCAGUUCUCAGAUUUUUUGGUCUCAAGACCACUUUACCUUCUAAAAAACUGAAGACUCCAAAAGGUGUUGCAUCUAAUAAAAAUAGGUUCUGAUGUUGAAUUGAUACUCAGAACAUCUGUUAUACAAGGUAUUCACACAGACCACAAUACGCUGA